UACAGAGGUCUCAAGCGUUGUUCGGAUUCACUGGGCGUAAAGGGUGCGUAGGUGGUGGGGUAAGUCGGAUGUGAAAUCCCCGGGCUCAACCGGGGAACGGGCACCGAUACGAGCGGCCUGGAGGGGAGUAGGGGGACCUGGAACUUCCGGUGGAGCGGUGAAAUGCGUUGAGAUCGGAAGGAACGCCCGUGGCGAAAGCGAGGUCCUGGGCUCCUGCUGACGCUGAGACGCGAAAGCCAGGGGAGCGAACGGG
rnacentral:rRNA from 1 species